rnacentral:rRNA from 1 species
AUACGGAGGAUGCAAGCGUUAUCCGGAUUUAUUGGGUUUAAAGGGUGCGUAGGCGGUUUGCUAAGCGGGAGGUGAAAUGCCGGCGCUCAACGUCGGAAGUGCCUCCCGAACUGGUGGACUUGAAUGACUCUGCCGUGGGAGGAAUGUGUAGUGUAGCGGUGAAAUGCUUAGAGAUUACACAGAACACCGAUUGCGAAGGCAUCUCACGAAGGGUUGAUUGACGCUGAGGCACGAAAGCGUGGGGAUCAAACAGGAUUAGAUACCCUGGUAGUCCACGCAGUAAACGAUGAUUACUAGCUGUUUGCGAUACAAUGUAAGCGGCUGAGCGAAAGCGUUAAGUAAUCCACCUGGGGAGUACGUUCGCAAGAAUGAAACUCAAAGGAAUUGACGGGG